rnacentral:misc_RNA from 1 species
GUGAAUCAUCGAAUCUUUGAACGCAAAUUGCACUCGAGGCUCCGGCCGAGAGUAUGUCUGCCUCAGCGUCGGCUCUACCCUCACCCCUCUUCAUCGAAGAGGCGUGGACCUGGUCGUCCCGGUUAAUCUAACCGGGUCGGCCGAAGAACAGAGGCUCGAGCGAGGACCCAAUCGGGACAACAGUCUGGUAGGUGACCCGUCAGGGAUCGCAUGCCGCUGUCGGCCCGGGACCUCGUUGGAAGCCGGCAGGAAUCGCCGGUCGCUUUUUCAAAAAGGAAGCGGCCGCGCGACACACCCUUU